rnacentral:lncRNA from 1 species
UUUAGCUAAUCGCGCUGGAGGAGCUCUUGGAUGAGGCUCGAGAGCGAGAUGUUCUCCUUGGUCCCCCGCCCCGAGACUGCCCCGCGGCGCCCCGCAAGGGGCUGUGGGGUGCGAUUUGCCCCGUCCCGGUGUGGGUGAGACAUCCUGCCAUCGCAUCCCCCCCUGUCCCCGCAGCCUGGGUCUCUCCUGGGGUGACCCUGGAGGGCGAACGACCACGUCUGGGCAGAGGAGAGGCUCCCACGGUGCUGGAGCGGGGUUUGCUGCUGCUGUGGAGGAGCCAAAGAGGAGCACCAAAAGCUCUCCAAGGCCAUCGCAGGACCAAGGGGUGUUCCCAACAGAAACCCUAGCUUUCCUCUGCUUUUGGACCCCGUCUGAGCUUGUUCAAGCAUCUCCUUUGUGGGAAUCAAUCUGGGAGCGUCAUCUGGAAACUCUUCAUGAAGUGAAGAAAACCCCAAAGCCAAUGCUUUUGUCCAGCUUGGAAAUUUCUGGUUUCAGCUCGCAUUCCUAUGUCAGAAUGAUUAGCAUAUUUAAUUAAGCAAGCUUGUUGACAUUUCUAGCUGGGUGGAUGAUUACUCUUCCUUCUUACAAGGAGCAGACAGCAUGAUGGGGAGAAAGAUGAGAACUGCCAGCUUGUCCCCGGAGAAAGGCUUAUAGGAUCGGGUGGGAUGGGGAUGGGACAGGACGGGGACAGGAGGGACAGGAUGGUGGGGAUGGGAUGGGAUGGGAUGGGAUGGGAUGGGAUGGGAUGGGAUGGGAUGGGAUGGGCAGGCACUGGGCAGCCAUGCAGGUGGGACUCAGGACCUCCAGACAGAGGUCUUGCUUUGGAAAUGUCAUAGUUUUCAGUCUUCCUGCUAUUUCUGCAUCGUUGGUAUUUCUGCCACCUUGUAAAAUAAGAUAAAACUACAAAAUCUCACUGUACUGANNNNNNNNNNNNNNNNNNNNGGACGGGACGAGACAGGACGGGACGGGACGGGACGGGACGGGACGGGACGGGAUGGGAUGGGAUGGGAUGGGAUGGGAUGGGAUGGGGGUGUCUGGGAGCAGGGAGCCGUGCCCUCCUGCCAAGACUCCAGUUUA